rnacentral:rRNA from 1 species
GACGAACGCUGGCGGCGUGCUUAACACAUGCAAGUCGAACGGAAAGGCCCUGCUUUUGUGGGGUGCUCGAGUGGCGAACGGGUGAGUAACACGUGAGUAACCUGCCCUUGACUUUGGGAUAACUUCAGGAAACUGGGGCUAAUACCGUAUAGGAGCUCCUGCUGCACGGUGGGGGUUGGAAAGUUUCGGCGGUUGGGGAUGGACUCGCGGCUUAUCAGCUUGUUGGUGGGGUAGUGGCUUACCAAGGCUUUGACGGGUAGCCGGCAUGGGCGGGUGACCGGCCACAUUGGGACUGAGAUACGGCCCAGAGUCCUACGGGCGGCAGCAGUGGCGAAUAUUGAACAGUGGGCGGAAGCCUGAUGCAGCAACGCCGCGUGCGGGAUAACGGCCUUCGGGUUGUAAACCGCUUUCGCCUGUGACGAAGCGUGAGUGACGGUAAUGGGUAAAGAAGCACCGGCUAACUACGUG